AUGAACACAAUAGAGAACUAAGUUCUACGAGAAAAUGAAGUUGUGUUAUGCAUGUUGUCUCGGUCUACAUAAAACACCGGUUGGUUCAAGACAUCAUGUUCACCUUCUGGUAAAGUAGACCCGACAUAUAUUGACUAUGAGUGGUUCAAGGCUUAAAAAUGCCACCAACUCAAACACAGUGAAUUUUUUGCAAACACUCUCGAUAAGUC
rnacentral:lncRNA from 1 species